rnacentral:rRNA from 1 species
ACGAAGGGGGCGAGCGUUGUUCGGAAUUACUGGGCGUAAAGGGCGCGUAGGCGGCCCGUUUAGUCAGAUGUGAAAGCCCCGGGCUCAACCUGGGAACUGCAUUUGAUACUGGCGGGCUUGAGUUCCGGAGAGGAUGGUGGAAUUCCCAGUGUAGAGGUGAAAUUCGUAGAUAUUGGGAAGAACACCAGUGGCGAAGGCGGCUCACUGGCUCGU